UCAACCAAAAACGUUUAAGAACGAACUCAUUGUUCUGUAUAUCAACCAAUAUUUUUUUAAUAACUAAACCAAGAUAGACCACAGCCCAUCGUUUCAAAUGGGAAGACAUUUGUCAAAGUGGGCAAAACAAGCAAGGAGGAGGGCAACGCCAAGCACGAGCUAACGAGAUCCUAUUGAGGCGUUCUAUCAUAAUUUGUAUAUUUCCGUUCGGGAACGGCUACUUUGAAGUGCAGAGCCAAGCCUGCUGAUUGGAAGUACCAGUGGUGGGGGUGUACUUCGUGGCCAAUGUUUACAUGUUCAGUGAAACUGGACCUGCUGUUCCCCGUGUUAGAGAUGCAUGUCUUACCACAGGACAUGGAAAAGUGUGUGAAGGAGGAACUUCAAACAUGGGCAAAGCAGAUUGAAGAUGGGCUUUGCCUCACCAAUGGCAAAACGAUGCCUGAUGAAGUGUAGCUAGUGGCAGGGCAG